UAUUUAANUUUUAAAAUUUUUGUAAUAAUGAUAGAAUUAGUAUAUUUAUUUGUAUAUAANUUUUUACCUUGUGAAUUUAUUAUAAGGAACUAGGCAAAAUUGAUUUCCGCCUGUUUAUCAAAAACAUGUCCUCUUGAAAAAUAAUUUGAGGUCUGGCCUGCUCACUGAGCGGNNNAUUUUUAAAGAGCCGCGGUAUUUUGACCGUGCAAAGGUAGCAUAAUCAUUAGUCUCUUAAUUAGUGGCUGGAAUGAAUGGCUUGACGAGAAAUCAACUGUCUCUUAAUAAAUUUUUGAAUUUAACUUUUGAGUCAAAAGGCUUAAAUUUUUCUUUAGGACGAGAAGACCCUAUAGAGCUUAACAUUUUACUUUUAUAUAGNUUUUUGUUUGUCUUUCUAUAUUUAAUGAUGAUGUUUUGUUGGGGUGACAUGAAGAAUAAAUAAACUCUUCAUUAUUAUAUCAUUUAUUUAUGUUUGUUGUUUUGAUCCAUAAUUUAUGAUCAUAAGAUUAAGUUACCUUAGGGAUAACAGCGUAAUUGUUUUUGAGAGCUCAUAUUGACAAAGCAGAUUGCGACCUCGAUGUUGGAUUAAGAAAAAUUUUGGGUGCAGUAGCUCGAUAAUUAGGUCUGUUCGACCUUUAAAUUCUUACAUGAUCUGAGUUCAGACCGGCGUGAGCCAGGUCGGUUUCUAUCCUAAGAUUNUUUAAUUCAUAUUAGUACGAAAGGACCAUAUGGUUGAAAUANNUUUUUUAUUUUAUNUGAUGAAUAUUAAUUGGAUU
rnacentral:rRNA from 1 species